rnacentral:misc_RNA from 1 species
UACGUAGGUGGCAAGCGUUGUCCGGAAUUAUUGGGCGUAAAGAGCUCGUAGGUCGUUUGUCGCGUCGAUUGUGAAAAUCUGAGGCUCAACCUCAGACCUGCAGUCGAUACGGGCAAACUAGAGUGUGGUAGUGGAAACUGGAAUUCCUGGUGUAGCGGUGGAAUGCGCAGAUAUCAGGGGGAACACCAAUGGCGAAGGCAGGUCUCUGGGCCAUAACUGACACUGAGGAGCGAAAGCGUGGGGAGCAAACAGG